rnacentral:lncRNA from 1 species
UUCGCCCGCCCCGGUUGUCUCGUCCCCUUAUUGUUCCACGUCAUCAGCGCCGCCCGUGCCCUCUCUCCCGAACCUUCCCUAUGUUAAAACCAAACCUUUAAACUUAAAUCCGGUUCCUGAUACUGACUCCAAGGAAAAUCAAACCGAACCUGAAACGGAACCUCACCCGAACCUGAACCUGAACCAAAACCCGAACAUGUAUUCAAAUAACCCUGUUGUUCACUACCCUCCAGAAGCUGCUUAUUCGGCGCAUUCAGUAAACCCGGUUCCGGUUUACUAUGUUUCCGGUCCGGUUCGACCGGGAUCCGUGCCGGUUCCUAUGCAAACC